ACAGCUCUCUCUCCACAUGCACGGAACUCACAUACGCCGACUCCGCCUCCUACGUGCGCCACCGUUGUGUCGUGCGUUGCCGCCUCCGGGAGCCUUUUUCGCGGGUCGCCGCUCCCAGCCACCACGCGUCGUCGCUCCGUGGCGAGCGUGGCUGCGGUGUGAGGUAGGAGAGAAGGUGGCAUGCGGGGCGAGAGGCAGCGGCAUGUGUCACGGGGAGGCCGGGGCGAGGCGGCGAGCGAGCAGGCGGCAAGGUUGAACACGAGUCGGCGUGGACAAGACUUUCAACUUAUAGGUUGAAAAUAAUAAAUUGCGGGCCCAAUUUUAAUUUUGUCACCUGAAAUAUACCAAACUAUUGGAGAUUGGGUAUAAUUUUCUUUGCCAUAUUAUUUAGAGAAUUGCCAAAACAUCAGAUUUGGGAAACAAAAUUUGCCUACCUUUUGGAGAUGAUCUUAGGCGCAUUGUGACUCACUAUGAUCCUUCCUGGGUGCGGGCCACUUAUGCAGCGGUGGAGGCGGCCGAAGGGCGCCGAGCAGCUCGGCAUCGGCCUCGGCUCGUUAGGACAUGUACAAUAAUACAUUCACGUUAAAUUAAUCAUCCUACGUAGUAUCAUUACCUUCGACGUGUCUUUUUUUCAUCUACUGUUUACAAGGCCUCGGACAAACCCAUAGUCCAAUUUAGUUACAACUUACAAGCAACUGAUCAAAUUUUUAUUCCUAAAACAAAAGAAAAAAUAUGUGGUUGUUUGGAUCUAGAGACUUUUUGUAGCCCCUUGUCACAUCGGAUGUUUAGAAGUUAAUAAAGAGUAUUAAAUAUAGACCGAUAACAAAACUAAUUGCAUAAAUAAAACUAUUCCAUUAGACAAAUUUUUUAAGCCUAAUUAAUUCACGAUUAGCAAAUGUUUACUGUAGAAUCACAUAUACUAAUCAUGGACUAAUUAGGCUCAAUAGAUUCGUCUCGCGAAAUAGUCCAGAGUAUGGGGUGGAUUUUAUUAAUAGUCUAUAUUUAAUAUUUCUAAUUAGUGUUCAAACAUUUGAUGUGAC
rnacentral:lncRNA from 1 species